GAAAUGGGGAUUGCACAGUGAUACUGAAUUGCUAGAGACCAGUGCUUUACGCAAGAAUAAUACAUAUUCUCCACCCCCUCAGAAAUGUUCCGCUGAAAUAGAUUAUAAACAAGACCAUGACUAUGAAGAUAUGGAGACUGAGCUGAAGAUGCUACGUGUGACAAAUAAGAAAGCUUUUUAAAACUUGCAAAGAUGAAUUCUCACCUGGAGAAAAGAACAUUCUUUACUGUAACCAUUGUCCUAUUCUUGAUCUUCAGUUGCUAGAGUGCUUCAAAUCUAUAUGUAUAUAUACAUUGAAACAGAAAAUGACAAAUGUUACGCCUCAAUGUCUCAAUUCUCAAUCACAAUUAGAAUCUGCUGAUU